rnacentral:misc_RNA from 1 species
CUUUAUUAAUUUUUUAUAUAUAAUUUAUAUUAAAUAUAAAAAUAUAUUUUUUAAAUAAAAAGACGAUAAGACCCUAUUAAAUUUUACUUAUAGUUUAACUGGGGAAGUUUUAAAAAUAAAAUUUUUUAUAAAAAUAAAAAUAAAUCUAAUAAAAUUAAAAUUAAAUUAAAUUACUAUAGGGAUAACAGCAUUAUAUUUUUUAAAAGUUCAUAUUAAAAAAAAUGAUUGUGACCUCGAUGUUGAAUUAUAUUUUCUUUAUUAAUGCAAUAAUUAUAAAAGUAGAUCUGUUCGAUCUUUAAAAUAUUACAUGAUUUGAGUUCAAACCGGUGUAAACCAGGUUGGUUUCUAUCUUUUUAUAAAUUCAUAUAUAUAUAUAUAUAUAUAUAAAUUUUUCAAGUACGAAAGGAAAAAAAAAUUUUUAUUUUAAUUAAUUAGCAAUUAAUAUGCAUUAGAUUUAGAAUCUAAAUAAACUAUU